GUGGGGAAUAUUGCACAAUGGGGGAAACCCUGAUGCAGCAACGCCGUGUGAACGAAGAAGGCCUUAGGGUCGUAAAGUUCUGUCCUAAGGGAAGAAGAAAGUGACGGUACCUUAGGAGGAAGCCCCGGCUAACUACGUGCCAGCAGCCGCGGUAAUACGUAGGGGGCAAGCGUUAUCCGGAAUUAUUGGGCGUAAAGAGUACGUAGGUGGCUAUGUAAGCGCAGGGUGAAAGGCAGUGGCUUAACCAUUGUUAGCCUUGCGAACUGCAAAGCUUGAGUGCAGGAGAGGAAAGCGGAAUUCCUAGUGUAGCGGUGAAAUGCGUAGAUAUUAGGAGGAACACCAGUGGCGAAGGCGGCUUUCUGGACUGUAACUGACACUGAGGUACGAAAGCGUGGGUAGCAAACAGGAUUAGAAACCCUAGUAGUCC
rnacentral:rRNA from 1 species